rnacentral:piRNA from 1 species
UGGAAGUCUUAGGCUUUACUGAGUGUCUUC